AAGAUUUUAAGUUAAUAAAAACUUUUAAUUUUCAAAAUUAAAAAUAAAAAUUUAUUUUUUUUUUAAAUCUUA
rnacentral:tRNA from 1 species